rnacentral:rRNA from 1 species
UACGUAGGGUGCAGGCGUUAAUCGGAAUUACUGGGCGUAAAGCGUGCGCAGGCGGUUUGCUAAGACAGGUGUGAAAUCCCCGGGCUUAACCUGGGAACUGCGCUUGUAACUGGCAAGCUGGAGUGUGGCAGAGGGGGGUGGAAUUCCAGGUGUAGCGGUGAAAUGCGUAGAUAUCUGGAGGAACACCGGUGGCGAAGGCGGCAUCCUGGACCGAUACUGACACUGAGGAGCGAAAGCCAGGGGAGCAAACGGG